AGGGCCCUGUCAGUGAUGUGGCCUUCUGCAACAUCCAGUCACUCACUGGGUAUCCCUGUGUCCUCAAUUAGUGCCGGACCCAAGCUGGGUCCCUGCCGCAGCAGUCUCAUGAUCUUGUUGGGGAAGUAGGGGGACAUUUGAGGCACCCAGCACAAGGCACUCUAAGGCAGGCAUGGCUCCUGGUAUAACCAGUGGGUUGUUAGAAGAAGCAGAGAAGAGCCUCAUGGGCACGUUGGCUUUUGGAGGAGAUGAGGCUGGAACUGGAGUUUGAGCAUUACGUGCUGGGAUGGGAGUUUCGAGUAAAGUCACUGCAGUAAGAAUACACACGUUUUCUCGCAAGGGUAGAGGGAAGGAAAGUUGUUAGGGCAGCCUCAGAGUCAUCAGGUAAAAGCCUAUGGUUUUUUUUUGUUUGUUUGUUUGAUUUGCUUUUUCUUUGAGAUGGAGUUUUACUCUUGUCUCCCAGGCUAGAGUGCAAUGCAAGAUCUCAG
rnacentral:lncRNA from 1 species